CGGAGAACUGAAACAGGAGAUGGUGCGGACAGAUGUCAGCCUGGAAAAUGGCCUGGAACCCGCUGAAACCCACAGCAUGGUAAGACACAAGGAUGGUGGCUAUUCCGAGGAAGAGGACGUGAAGACCUGUGCCCGGGACUCAGGCUAUGACAGCCUCUCCAACAGGCUCAGCAUCUUGGACCGGCUCCUCCACACCCACCCCAUAUGGCUGCAGUUGAGUCUGAGUGAGGAGGAGGCAGCAGAGGUCCUGCAGGCCCAGCCUCCAGGGAUCUUCCUGGUUCAUAAAUCUACCAAAAUGCAGAAGAAAGUCCUCUCCCUCCGCCUGCCCUGUGAAUUUGGGGCCCCACUCAAGGAAUUUGCCAUAAAGGAAAGCACAUACAGGAUGUUCUGCCAUUUACCUUGAAGUUGCCUUAUGCCAUUUCAACAGCCAAGUCGGAGGCUCAGCUUGAAGAACUGGCCCAGAUGGGACUAAAUUUCUGGAGCUCCCCAGCUGACAGCAAACCCCCGAACCCUCCACCUCCCCAUAGGCCUCUCUCCUCCGACGGUGUCUGUCCUGCCUCCCUGCGUCAGCUCUGCCUUAUAAAUGGAGUGCAUUCUAUCAAAACCAGGACGCCUUCAGAGCUGGAGUGCAGCCAGACCAACGGGGCCCUGUGCUUUAUUAAUCCCCUUUUCUUGAAAGUGCACAGCCAGGACCUCAGUGGAGGCCUGAAACGGCCGAGCACAAGGACUCCCAACGCGAAUGGCACGGAGCGGACUCGGUCCCCCCCACCCAGGCCCCCGCCACCCGCUAUUAAUAGUCUCCACACAAGCCCUCGGCUGGCCAGGACUGAAACCCAGACGAGCAUGCCAGAAACAGUCAACCAUAACAAACAUGGGAACGUAGCUCUGCCUGGAACGAAACCAACUCCCAUCCCUCCACCCAGGCUGAAGAAGCAGGCUUCUUUUCUGGAAGCAGAGGGCGGCGCAAAGACCUUGAGCAGCGGCCGGCCUGGCGCAGGCCCGGAGCUGGAGCUGGGCACAGCUGGCAGCCCAGGUGGGGCCCCGCCUGAGGCCACCCUGGGGGAUUGCACAAGGGCCCCGCCGCCCAGCUCUGAAUCACGGCCCCCGUGCCAUGGAGGCCGGCAGCGGCUGAGCGACAUGAGCAUUUCUACUUCCUCCUCCGACUCGCUGGAGUUCGACCGGAGCAUGCCUCUGUUUGGCUACGAGGCGGAUACCAACAGCAGCCUGGAGGACUACGACGGGGAGAGUGACCAAGAGACCAUGGCGCCCCCCAUCAAGUCCAAAAAGAAAAGGAGCAGCUCCUUCGUGCUGCCCAAGCUCGUCAAGUCCCAGCUGCAGAAGGUGAGCGGGGUGUUCAGCUCCUUCAUGACCCCGGAGAAGCGGAUGGUCCGCAGGAUCGCCGAGCUUUCUCGGGACAAAUGCACCUACUUCGGGUGCUUAGUGCAGGACUAUGUGAGCUUCCUGCAGGAGAACAAGGAGUGCCACGUGUCCAGCACCGACAUGCUGCAGACCAUCCGGCAGUUCAUGACCCAGGUCAAGAACUAUUUGUCUCAGAGCUCGGAGCUGGACCCCCCCAUCGAGUCGCUGAUCCCUGAAGACCAAAUAGAUGUGGUGCUGGAAAAAGCCAUGCACAAGUGCAUCUUGAAGCCCCUCAAGGGGCACGUGGAGGCCAUGCUGAAGGACUUUCACAUGGCCGACGGCUCAUGGAAGCAACUCAAGGAGAACCUGCAGCUUGUGCGGCAGAGGAAUCCACAGGAGCUGGGGGUCUUCGCCCCGACCCCUGAUUUUGUGGAUGUGGAGAAAAUCAAAGUCAAGUUCAUGACCAUGCAGAAGAUGUAUUCGCCGGAAAAGAAGGUCAUGCUGCUGUUGCGGGUCUGCAAGCUCAUUUACACAGUCAUGGAGAACAACUCAGGGAGGAUGUAUGGCGCUGAUGACUUCUUGCCAGUCCUGACCUAUGUCAUAGCCCAGUGUGACAUGCUUGAAUUGGACACUGAAAUCGAGUACAUGAUGGAGCUCCUAGACCCAUCGCUGUUACAUGGAGAAGGAGGCUAUUACUUGACAAGCGCAUAUGGAGCACUUUCUUUGAUAAAGAAUUUCCAAGAAGAACAAGCAGCGCGACUGCUCAGCUCAGAAACCAGAGACACCCUGAGGCAGUGGCACAAACGGAGAACCACCAACCGGACCAUUCCCUCUGUGGACGACUUCCAGAAUUACCUCCGAGUUGCAUUUCAGGAGGUCAACAGUGGUUGCACAGGAAAGACCCUCCUUGUGAGACCUUACAUCACCACUGAGGAUGUGUGUCAGAUCUGCGCUGAGAAGUUCAAGGUGGGGGACCCUGAGGAGUACAGCCUCUUUCUCUUCGUUGACGAGACAUGGCAGCAGCUGGCAGAGGACACUUACCCUCAAAAAAUCAAGGCGGAGCUGCACAGCCGACCACAGCCCCACAUCUUCCACUUUGUCUACAAACGCAUCAAGAACGAUCCUUAUGGCGUCAUUUUCCAGAACGGGGAAGAAGACCUCACCACCUCCUAGAAGACAGGCGGGACUUCCCAGUGGUGCAUCCAAAGGGGAGCUGGAAGCCUUGCCUUCCCGCUUCUACGUUCUUGAGCUUGAAAGGCAGUCACCUCCUCGGGGACCCCUCAGUGUAGUGACUAAACCAUCCACAGGCCAACACGGCCAAGGGCAACUUUAGCCAUGCAAGGUAGCUGAGGUUCGUGAAACAGUAGGAUUCUCUUUUGGCAAUGGAGAAUUGCAUCUGAUGGUUCAAGUGUCCUGAGAUUGUUUGCUACCUACCCCCAGUCAGGUUCUAGGUUGGCUUACAUGUAUGUAUAUGUGCAGAAGAAACACUUAAGAUACAAGUUCUUUUGAAUUCAACAGCAGAUGUUUGCGAUGCAGUGCGUCAGGUGAUUCUCACUCCUGUGGAUGGCUUCAUCCCUUCCUUCCUUUCUUUUUCCUUUUUUUUUUUUUUUUUUUUACAAAGAGCCUUCAUGUUUUUAUAUAUUUCAUAGAAAUUUUUAUAGCAGUUGCAGGUAAACUGUCAGGAUUGGUUUUAAAAUAUUUUUGUAACUUUAAAAUAUUCUAUAAUUAUGCAUGUGAUUUUAACAUUUAAUAUUCAAAAAUAAAUCUCUUGCUGGAUUUGAGAGUAUUGCAUUUUUAAAGUCUCUCUUCUGUAACUGGAUGUUUUGGCAACUUUGUGGGGAGAGACUGCUGGAUUUCUUAAAGCAACGUAUUCCUGACACUGGCCACAGAAUGCCUUUGGAAAUUGGAUGUACUGUUCUCUUGUUCACGUUUAGUGGUGUUUUGCUGUUUUGUUUUUUAAACAAAUGAUGCUGAGAAUAAGGAGAGAAAUGAAUGUAGAGAGAGGUAGAGAGAGAAAUAUGGACUCUAACAAAGGACUGAGGAGUGCAGUCUGCUGGUUCAGGCUCUUCAAAAGAUGUAGAAAAAGAGAUAGAAGGAACCACCCAUGCUUAAAAUACUGUAAAUAUGCAGUGAGGUUUGGCAAAAUCUAUUCAAUGUGUAAUUUGCUUGUAGAAACAAUUUUGAAAGCCCCUUGAGAAUAAAAAUCAAGAAGAACACUUUUCUUCCUUUUCCAUACAAAUUAAAACUUAACAGCAUCAAAUUAUUGGGACCAGAAACCAAGUAAUGUAUAAUGUGGCUUUUGUUGAGUUAAAUAAGAUGCUGUAUAAUGGAGAAGAAUUUGAAAAUGCACAAAAAAAUCAAUCUACAUUAUCAGAACCUGCAGUGAAAUUAAACUUAUGUUAAAUAAAACCAGUUUGCAGGUGCACAAACUAUGAGGGUCUUGUAUCUGUGUAACACAGGUAGUUACAAAAACAUGUUAUUGUACUGUGUAAAGAUGCAUAGUCAUCUAAUAUGGUUGGCUUUGUACCUUGUACCUUUUUUAGCCUUGGCUUUUGUUGAACUAGAACCCUCAGCACAUACUGUGUUGUACUUUUGUAAAUGAUUUUUUAAAUGGAAUUUUGCACAUAAUACAUUGUAAUACUGUAUGAUAAUCAUGUGUGAAAAUAAUUUUUGAAAUAUCC
rnacentral:sRNA from 1 species